UGUUGGUAAUUUCAGUCGGUAGAGCACGGGACUCUUAAUCUCAGGGGUGUGGGUUCAAGCCCCACAUUGGGCAA
rnacentral:tRNA from 1 species